rnacentral:misc_RNA from 1 species
GAUGAAGAACGUAGCGAAAUGCGAUAAGUAGUGUGAAUUGCAGAAUUCAGUGAAUCAUCGAAUCUUUGAACGCACAUUGCGCCCCUUGGUAUUCCAUGGGGCAUGCCUGUUCGAGCGUCAUUUGUACCUUCAAGCUUUGCUUGGUGUUGGGUGUUUGUCUCGCCUUUGCGUGUAGACUCGCCUUAAAAUAAUUGGCAGCCGGCGUAUUGAUUUCGGAGCGCAGUACAUCUCGCGCUUUGCACUCAUAACGACAGCGUCCAAAAGUACAUUUUACACUCUUGACCUCGGAUCAGGUGGGGAUACCCGCUGAACUUAAGCAUAUCAAUAAGCGGAGGA